rnacentral:rRNA from 1 species
ACGGAGUUACAAAAGAAAGUUAUAAAUGAAGCGGUCUGGAAAGGCCCGCCAAAGACGGUAACAGCCCGGUAGUUGAAAUAGCUUUCCCUCCAGAGUGGAUCCUGAGUACGGCGGAACACGUGAAAUUCCGUCGGAAUCCGGGAGGACCAUCUCCCAAGGCUAAAUACUCCCUAGUGACCGAUAGUGAACCAGUACCGUGAGGGAAAGGUGAAAAGCACCCCGGAAGGGGAGUGAAACAGUUCCUGAAACCGUGUGCCUACAAGUAGUUAGAGCCCGUUAAUGGGUGAUAGCGUGCCUUUUGUAGAAUGAACCGGCGAGUUACGAUUUGUUGCAAGGUUAAGCGGAAAAAGCGGAGCCGUAGCGAAAGCGAGUCUGAAUAGGGCGAAUAAGUAACAGGUCGUAGACCCGAAACCAGGUGAUCUACCCAUGUCCAGGAUGAAGGUAAGGUAAUACUUACUGGAGGUCCGAACCCACGCACGUUGAAAAGUGCGGGGAUGAGGUGUGGGUAGCGGAGAAAUUCCAAUCGAACUUGGAGAUAGCUGGUUCUCUCCGAAAUAGCUUUAGGGCUAGCCUCGAGGUAAAGAGUCAUGGAGGUAGAGCACUGUUUGGACUAGGGGCCCUUCUCGGGUUACCGAAUUCAGAUAAACUCCGAAUGCCAUGUACUUAUACUCGGGAGUCAGACUGCGAGUGAUAAGAUCCGUAGUCGAAAGGGAAACAGCCCAGACCACCAGUUAAGGUCCCCAAAUAUAUGUUAAGUGGAAAAGGAUGUGGGGUUGCUUAGACAACCAGGAUGUUGGCUUAGAAGCAGCCACCAUUGAAAGAGUGCGUAAUAGCUCACUGGUCGAGUGACCCCGCGCCGAAAAUGUACCGGGGCUAAACAUAUUACCGAAACUGUGGAUGAACCUCUUUAGAGGUUCGUGGUAGGAGAGCGUUCUAAGGGCGGUGAAGUCAGACCGGAAGGACUGGUGGAGCGCUUAGAAGUGAGAAUGCCGGUAUGAGUAGCGAAAGAAGGGUGAGAAUCCCUUCCACCGAAUAUCUAAGGUUUCCUGAGGAAGGCUCGUCCGCUCAGGGUUAGUCGGGACCUAAGCCGAGGCCGAUAGGCGUAGGCGAUGGACAACAGGUAGAGAUUCCUGUACCAGUGCUAAUUGUUUAACCGAUGGGGUGACACAGAAGGAUAGGGAAUCGCACGAAUGGAAAUGUGCGUCCAAGCAGUGAGUGUGAGAAGUAGGCAAAUCCGCUUCUC